UCCAGUCCAGACCAUUUUCUGGUCUGGUUGAAGGACAUCUUUCCACUGAAAACCCAUCCCAGAUGGGGCACACUUCAAAUCCCUCAGGAAUAGGGAGCCCAGGGUGACCGGCUCUGCUGGAAACGGCUGCGUUGUGGAUACAUGAGGUCAGGUUUCAUUGUUACCAACCUGCUAAGAGCUGCAGCAUCUCUCACACUGGAAUUUGCAAACUGAAGGAGACAUCAAUGAAUUGGC